GCCCGCCUAGCUCAAUCGGAUAGAGCGUCAGACUUUUAAAACUUAGGGCAAUCUGAAGGCUGCGAGUUCGACCCUCGCGGUGGGCU